UGUUGAUUUAAAGCAGAGUCUGUCGUGCCCAGCGGAAGGAUGAGGAAAAUGUGUUACAUACUCUAUAUUGCUUUAUUUACAGUUCAAAGCUGGUACAUUACAGAAAGACAUCUUGCCUCUGCAGGAGCAGAAAAAUGCAUCCUCUCUCCUCAACAGCUUGGAGAGAAGCACACAGAGAAAAACAGGAAACCAGUGUACGUCACAUCCAGUCUCCCUUUCCCGUGAGAAACUCCAACAGUACAGACUGUGGAAUGUAAACACCUGUCUUGUGACUGCAGUUGCUGCACAGUGAAGGAAAUAGAAACCAACAUCCUCCCCCUUUCUGUGAACAUCACUGGGCAGCGUGUUUGCACAAUAUCAGUACAAACCCAACUUCUGCACAUAGGUACAGUGUUGAUCCCUUGAUACAAUCUUGGACAAUACAUCAGCAGGAAUUUCAUUACCUGGCAUAUAGGACACCGUUACGAGUCCCUUCUGAAUACAUUCCCUAGCAUGCUGCAACUUUAAUUGCAAGUGCUUUGUGCUUUGCUUACAACCUUCAGACUUCAGCAAAGCCAAACAUGCUUUGUUGUCCUGGUAAACCUGGAUUGGACAUUUGACAGGAAUUUUCAUAUCUUUGCACAAUUGUACUAACCAUUCACAAUCCUUAAGUGAAUAAGACAGUGCAUUCAGUUCAGCUUCACAAGUACUUAAGCUAACUGUUGUUUGCUUCUUGCAUGACCAAUCAAACAGACUCUGAUUGUACAUGUAGCAAACUCCAGACGUACUUUUCCUGUCUGUAGUGUCACUUCCAAAAUUUGCAUCUGCAAAUAUCUCAAGACCACCAGACUUCUGAUUGUUAAAUCUCAGUCUGUAAUGCAUAGUGCCUUUCAAAUACCGCGCUAUGCGUUUCAGAGCUUUCCAAUCCUUGACACUAGGAUUGUUGACUUGUCUGCUUAGCAAAUUACAGCUAACAGCAAUGUCUGGUCUUGAACAUCUGGCAAUGAAGUUUAGCUUGCCUAGCACACUCCUGUACAGUGUAGUGUCAGAAAAUGCUUCUUCAGUGUCAUCUACCUGAUAACCUGUUGUCAUCGGUGUGUCUACAGGGUUAGCAUCCAUCAGAUUUAGUUUGCUUAACACAUCAGCAAUUUUCCGUGACUGGUGUACUAGAAUGUUACCAUCUUGAUCUCUCUCUAUUUCCAGAGAUAGGUAGUUGUUUACCUCACCAAGAUCUUUCAUGUCAAAAUGCUCUUUCAGUUGAGCUAGGGCGCUAUUGUACAUCGCGACAUCUUUCCAAAAGAAUAAUAAAUCAUCAACAUAAAACAAACAGUACAGUUUCUUUUGCCCCUCCUCUUUGACAAAUACACAUGGAUCAGCUUUCCCUUGCUGAAAACCUAGAGAAAACAAUACUUCAGUGAGUUUUGUGUGCCAACACCGUGCACUUUGUUUGAGACCAUAAAGGGAUUUCUUCAGAGCACAAACAAAUCCCUGUUUUACCUGUACGCCAUCAGGUGGAAGCAUAUAAAGUGAUUCAUCUAGAGAUCCGUACAGAAAAGCUGUAUUAAUAUCAUGGUGACUAAUGUGUAGAUUUUCCUCUGCAGCUAGCUUGAGCAUAAGCCUAAUGCUUUCAUAUCUCACUGUGGGUGAAUAGGUCUCGUGAUAGUCUUCACCUGGUACCUGUGCAAAACCUCUGGCUACCAAUCUGGCUUUGUGUCUGACUAUCUUGCCAUUUUGAUCUGUCUUCGCUUUGAAGACCCAUUUGCUUCCAAGCAGUUUCAUUCCUGGAACUACUGGAACUAGCUCCCAUGUUUUGUUCCUUUCUAAGGAAUCAAGCUCAGCCUUCAUGGCAUUUAACCAUGGCUCAGCUUCCUUUGAAUCCAAACCCUGGAUUUCUUGGAAACUUGAAGGUUCAAAUACCUUCUUGGAGCUUUUAACAGCUGUUACUGCUAUCUUAGCAAACUCAUCAGCAAAUCUCUUUGGAGGUUUGCCUUUUGUGGCUCUCUGUGACCUACGAAUUAUCCUUAAGUCUUCAACACUCUCCUCUUCCUUCUUAGGAGAAAAACGACCUAUUGUGAACAAUGGUUCCUCCAAUUCUUGAUCAGAGCUUUCAGAGGGUCGCAUAGAGGCUUUCGCACUCUUGAAAUCCUCUGAAUCACCCGAUUCAGUUUCAGAUUCAGACUCAGAACCUUCAUCAGUGGGUGUGGGUUGUUGUGGUUGCUUUUGACUAUCCUCAGUCUCAUCACCGUCAUCAGGAUAACAUUGGAAAAUUCCCACAUUCUCCCCCCACUUUGCAUUGUACUCAACACUUCUCGUGAGCUUAAUUGUUUUAGAGUCAGUCAUCAUUAUUCUGUAAGACCCUUUCUGAUAACCUAGAAAGAUACCAUGCAAUCCACGCUUGUCUAACUUGGAGUUUUGUGGUGAGUGAACCCACAUGUCAGAACCAAAAAUCUUCAUGUGUUUGAUGUAUGGCUUCUUGCCAAACAUCUUCUCAUAGGGGGUACAACCAAUCGCUGAAGAUAAUCUGCGAUUGUAACUGUAAACAAAACACGAGAGAGAUUCGGCCCAAUAACUCUCUGGAAGAUUGGCAUCAUGCAGCAAGGUUUUUAGACCUUGAAGCAAUGUCUGAUUUGCCCGUUCCGCAAGUCCAUUCUGCCAUGGCGAGCGAGGACUAGACAAAUCGUGUUGAAUUCCUUUCUCAGUCAGAAAAGCUUCAAACUGCUGAGAAGUGAAUUCCCCCCCGCGAUCACUGAAAAGAGUCUUUAUCUUCUUACCAUGCACAUUUUCCAACCAAGCACAGAAUUCCUUGAACCUAGGAAAAGCCUCCGAUUUCUGCUUGAGAUUGUACACAAAAAUAUAUCUAGAAAAUGCAUCAAUGAGAACCAUGAAGUAUCUAUUUCCACCCAAAGAGGGCGUUAGUGGUCCAACCAAAUCAGCAUGAACAACCUGGUAUGGUUCUGUAGCUUUCCUACUAGACACCUUACCUUUCGCAGCCAUUUUCACCUUGUUUGCUGCGCAUGCUUUGCACUUCAUGUGGUACCUGCAGGGUUUAAUAGUCAUACCUUCAACCAAGGCAGGCAUUUUAGAUACUGCCUCAAAAUGCAAAUGACCAAAUUUGCGAUGAAAAUCGUGAAUACAUUCUGCAUGCAAACUUUUGUUAGAACCUGCAAUGCAACAAGUGUCAUCCUGCACCACAUCAUCAUAAUACAAAACAAACAAAUGAUCAACAUACUCUGCAUGCAAUACAUAAUCAUUUUUCUUUGUGAUGAUGCACUUCUUGUUCUUGAAGGAAACGUCAAUGUUCCGCUCAUUCAGCUGUCCAACGCUGAGCAGAUUAUGUUUGGCGUCUGGCACGUAAAGCACAUUCUGUAUCGAUAAGUCCAAACUGUGAAGAACAACAGUUCCGUAGCCUUUACUGGGAAUAGUGUGGUCAUCCGCCUGGUGAAUCGCACCUUCCUGCGGUGUAAAAGACACAAACAGUUUUUUAUCGUUGCACAUGUGGUGGGUGGCCGCUGAAUCAACAACGAAGAAAGAUCUAGACGUUUUCUGGACCUCUGCAACCUUUGGAGUGAAGCGUGAAACCAUAGCCUUGUGCUGCAUUGUCCUAGACACCGGACCUUUGCCUUUGCCUCGGCCUUUUCCGCGCGAUGAGCUUUCGCUGCGCUGCUCUGUCUUGGCCCUGGGAUGUCUGCAUUCCCUCUUCAUAUGGCCUAGACGUCCACACGAGUAGCAUUUCACUGCCUGCAAAGCUUUGGCGCCAUCUGGUGGUUCCACUGCACUAUGGGAUGACGUCUGUGAAGACUCCCCUUUGCCCAUGCAGCUAGCACCCCGGCGAUCUGCUUCAUUUAAAAUCACGGCAGUAACAAAGUCCACUGUCAGCUGAGCAGUUGGUUGCACAGCAAUCUGGGUUGCAACAGACUCCCAACCUGAACCCAAAGAUUGUAGUAUCAUGAAAGAAUACACAGCCUCUGGAAAGUUGAGUCCUCUCUGUUGCAGCUCAUGUCUCAGAUUUUGCAUCUCCAUCAGAUGUAAACGCACAUCUCCACCUUCAGCAAGAGCCAUAUUGUGCAGCUUGUUAAAGUAAUACAUAGUGGAUCCAGCUUCUGUCCUUAAGUGAGCCUCUCUCAGAGCGUCCCAAAUCUCUCUGGCUGAGGUCUUAUCACGCAAUAGACAGAGCUCUUCUGGGGAUACUAUCAAUGUAAGAGUUCCCUUGCUUUGGAAUCCUUAGCUUCCCAUACAUCUGUAACUGGAACUGGGGGGGUUCCUGUAAUCACCUCAAACAAACCCUCUUUCCGCAGAAUUGCCUCUGCAUACUGAACCCAGUCGCUGUAAUUAUUCUUGUUGAGCUUAGGAAUCCCACAAGCAUCCUGAAGGGCCAUCAUGACUCUGGCAUUAGCCUUCAGCGUCAUAUUUAUGCUGCUUUAAAUCUUGCUGCGUCACUGCUGCAGCUGCUUCAUUACAAAGGCACACUUAAAAGUUACUUUCGAUUUCCCCAGCAUAGUGACUUGUGCCUGGGAGUCUUUUGCCUAUUCCCGGCAAAACCGGCUUUAAAAGUUCAAAGUCCAGCCAUAAAGCCAUUAACUUGAAGCUGGCAGGCUGCCCGGAGCAGUAGCACAUACCUCAUCAAUCACUUCUACGCGCAGAGCAGAUUCCGUUCCGAUCUGUUCCUCUGCAUUCCGAUCCUUUGCCGGCACUCCGAUUCGACCUCUGGAGUCCAUAACCACGUGUUGAUUUAAAGCAGAGUCUGUCGUGCCCAGCGGAAGGAUGAGGAAAAUGUGUUACAUACUCUAUAUUGCUUUAUUUACAGUUCAAAGCUGGUACAUUACAGAAAGACAUCUUGCCUCUGCAGGAGCAGAAAAAUGCAUCCUCUCUCCUCAACAGCUUGGAGAGAAGCACACAGAGAAAAAACAGGAAACCAGUGUACGUCACAUCCAGUCUCCCUUUCCCGUGAGAAACUCCAACAGUACAGACUGUGGAAUGUAAACACCUGUCUUGUGACUGCAGUUGCUGCACAGUGAAGGAAAUAGAAACCAACACU
rnacentral:lncRNA from 1 species